UAAAAGUGUCCAGGGAUGGGAAUCGAACCCACAGUGUUCCGCUUACCGGGCAGAUGCCAUGUCCACUAGGCUUGAUUUU
rnacentral:tRNA from 1 species